rnacentral:rRNA from 7 species
AAAUUGAAGAGUUUGAUCAUGGCUCAGAUUGAACGCUGGCGGCAGGCCUAACACAUGCAAGUCGAACGGUAACAGGAAGCAGCUUGCUGCUUUGCUGACGAGUGGCGGACGGGUGAGUAAUGUCUGGGAAACUGCCUGAUGGAGGGGGAUAACUACUGGAAACGGUGGCUAAUACCGCAUAACGUCGCAAGACCAAAGAGGGGGACCUUCGGGCCUCUUGCCAUCAGAUGUGCCCAGAUGGGAUUAGCUUGUUGGUGAGGUAACGGCUCACCAAGGCGACGAUCCCUAGCUGGUCUGAGAGGAUGACCAGCCACACUGGAACUGAGACACGGUCCAGACUCCUACGGGAGGCAGCAGUGGGGAAUAUUGCACAAUGGGCGCAAGCCUGAUGCAGCCAUGCCGCGUGUAUGAAGAAGGCCUUCGGGUUGUAAAGUACUUUCAGCGGGGAGGAAGGUGUUGUGGUUAAUAACCGCAGCAAUUGACGUUACCCGCAGAAGAAGCACCGGCUAACUCCGUGCCAGCAGCCGCGGUAAUACGGAGGGUGCAAGCGUUAAUCGGAAUUACUGGGCGUAAAGCGCACGCAGGCGGUCUGUCAAGUCGGAUGUGAAAUCCCCGGGCUCAACCUGGGAACUGCAUUCGAAACUGGCAGGCUUGAGUCUUGUAGAGGGGGGUAGAAUUCCAGGUGUAGCGGUGAAAUGCGUAGAGAUCUGGAGGAAUACCGGUGGCGAAGGCGGCCCCCUGGACAAAGACUGACGCUCAGGUGCGAAAGCGUGGGGAGCAAACAGGAUUAGAUACCCUGGUAGUCCACGCCGUAAACGAUGUCUACUUGGAGGUUGUGCCCUUGAGGCGUGGCUUCCGGAGCUAACGCGUUAAGUAGACCGCCUGGGGAGUACGGCCGCAAGGUUAAAACUCAAAUGAAUUGACGGGGGCCCGCACAAGCGGUGGAGCAUGUGGUUUAAUUCGAUGCAACGCGAAGAACCUUACCUGGUCUUGACAUCCACGGAAGUUUUCAGAGAUGAGAAUGUGCCUUCGGGAACCGUGAGACAGGUGCUGCAUGGCUGUCGUCAGCUCGUGUUGUGAAAUGUUGGGUUAAGUCCCGCAACGAGCGCAACCCUUAUCCUUUGUUGCCAGCGAUUAGGUCGGGAACUCAAAGGAGACUGCCAGUGAUAAACUGGAGGAAGGUGGGGAUGACGUCAAGUCAUCAUGGCCCUUACGACCAGGGCUACACACGUGCUACAAUGGCGCAUACAAAGAGAAGCGACCUCGCGAGAGCAAGCGGACCUCAUAAAGUGCGUCGUAGUCCGGAUUGGAGUCUGCAACUCGACUCCAUGAAGUCGGAAUCGCUAGUAAUCGUGGAUCAGAAUGCCACGGUGAAUACGUUCCCGGGCCUUGUACACACCGCCCGUCACACCAUGGGAGUGGGUUGCAAAAGAAGUAGGUAGCUUAACCUUCGGGAGGGCGCUUACCACUUUGUGAUUCAUGACUGGGGUGAAGUCGUAACAAGGUAACCGUAGGGGAACCUGCGGUUGGAUCACCUCCUUACCUUAAAGAA